rnacentral:rRNA from 1 species
UACGGGGGGGGCAAGGCGUUGUUCGGAAUUACUGGGCGUAAAGCGCGCGUAGGUGGUUUGGGUAAGUUUGGAUGUGAAAGCCCCGGGCUCAACCUGGGAACUCGGCAUCCAAAACUGACCUGCUAGAGUACGGUAGAGGGUGGUGGAAUUUCCUGUGUAGCGGGUGAAAUGGCGUAGAUAUAGGAAGGAACACCAGUGGCGAAGCGACC